rnacentral:rRNA from 1 species
AACGAACGCUGGCGGCAUGCCUAACACAUGCAAGUCGAACGAGACCUUCGGGUCUAGUGGCGCACGGGUGCGUAACGCGUGGGAAUCUGCCCUUAGGUUCGGAAUAACAGCUCGAAAGGGGUGCUAAUACCGGAUAAUGUCUUAGGACCAAAGAUUUAUCGCCCUAGGAUGGGCCCGCGUUGGAUUAGCUAGUUGGUAGGGUAAAAGCCUACCAAGGCGACGAUCCAUAGCUGGUCUGAGAGGAUGAUCAGCCACACUGGGACUGAGACACGGCCCAGACUCCUACGGGAGGCAGCAGUGGGGAAUAUUGGACAAUGGGCGAAAGCCUGAUCCAGCAAUGCCGCGUGAGUGAUGAAGGCCUUAGGGUUGUAAAGCUCUUUUACCCGGGAUGAUAAUGACAGUACCGGGAGAAUAAGCUCCGGCUAACUCCGUG